rnacentral:rRNA from 1 species
AUGAAAGAGCAAGUGGCCAUGUUCCUCCGUGUUGUUGGUCAUAACCAGAGGUUCAAGCAAGUGCAGUAUGCUAUUGGGGAGCUCAUCGGAGAGAUGAUCAGAGUACCGAGCUCACAAGUUGCAACAUAUAGAGGGAGGAAGCACCACACAAGCCAGAAUGUGCUAACUGCUGUUGACUUCGAUCUGAAGUUCACAUAUGUGCUAGUUGGCUGGGAAGGAUCAGCACAUGAUGCUAACAUUCUCAGUGACAACAUGAGUCGUCCUGGUGGCAUCAACAUCCCUGAUGGCAAGUUCUACCUUGGAGAUGUUGUCUAUGCAUGUCGGCCAAGUGUUCUUCCAUCCUUCGGGAAAACCAGGUACCAUCUGAACGAGCUUGCUGUUGAUGAAUUUGUGCCGGAGGAGGAAGAUGUGACUCCUGAUGAGGUGAUUAGCUUCGACCAUGGUGUGGAGGCGUUCGAAAAGAAGCAUGGAAGAACAAAAGGAUGA